UACGUAGGGGGCAAGCGUUGUCCGGAUUUAUUGGGCGUAAAGAGCGUGUAGGCGGCCAGGGAGGUCCGUUGUGAAAACUCGAGGCUCAACCUCGAGACGCCGAUGGAAACCCCCUGGCUAGAGUCCGGAAGAGGAGAAUGGAAUUCCUGGUGUAGCGGUGAAAUGCGCAGAUAUCGGGAGGAACACCGGUGGCGAAGGCGGUUCUCUGGGCCUUACCUGACGCUGAGGAGCGAAAGCGUGGGGAGCGAACAGG
rnacentral:rRNA from 1 species